ACUGGUUCUUACAAAACCGGUGCGAAAAGUGAGUAAAUCGCACCGGUUCAGUUCGAACCAGUGCGAAAACUCUUGUUAAAUAAAAAAAAAAACCUGGUUAUAACUUAAUUUUUUUCUCUUGAAACCCCUCGAUCUUUCCUCCUCUCUCAUUCUCUCUCCUCUCUCUCUCCUCCAUUGAAGCGUACUCAUCUGCCUCUCUCUCCUUUCCUUUCUUCACUCUUUCGAUCGCCUAUGCACCCUUCCCCGGUUUCAUUGUGGAGCUCUUUAGUUGUGCUCCAUCAAUCAAGGGUUUUAUUUGGCGGUGGUGGCCUUAUUGCAACCUAAAAUCGUUGGCUUCAUCUUCUUUUGUCGAAAACUCUUCAUGAAACCUCACUCAAAAUCUGAGGUGGACAGUAAAAGCAAGGGAACUAAAGGAGAAAAGGUAAAAAAAUCAAUUGUGCCGCAAGAAAAAGUAAGCACUGAUGCAAAGAAGAGAAAAAUAAGAAGAAAUGGAAGCGAAAGAAGGCAAAUGACCUCCGAUUUGAAGCAGGGAUGGAAAAGUUGGAUGGUGUUUCAACAAGAAAGCAGAGAAAGAAAGAGUUAUACGGACCCUACAGUGCAGUACAACUAUUUGCUUAUGAGAGCUACAAGGUGAUACUUGAAUCUUUCACGGUCGUUGUAGUCAAUAGUCUUUUUAAUUGCUAGAUAUACCUUAUACUUGGGUCCUUUAGAAACUUUUUCGGGGAAAGGAUGAGGAACUAUUAGUUUUGGGAAGGCUAACUUUUUUUCCUAGCAUAUUUAUGGUAUCAUCUUACAGAUGAAGCUUUGAAACAAUACAUGUAAUUAGAACUGGGGUCCUAGAAAUUCUAUUUUGAUCCUACUGAAAAUUUGUUGAUUGAGGUAACUGAAUUUGAUCUGAUAAAGAAGUGAAUUUAUCUUGAUGGCAUCUACUGAAAAUAUAAAAAUAAAUAACCAUAAUUUGAGACCUCAGCUUUGCACCACCAGAUGACAGCUAAAAACCAGCAGAUAGCCAACAUGCUUUGCAAAACCAGGCCAGCAACCAAACAACAGCAUCACAGCAGGUGAAAGAGUAGGCAACGAAACCAACAGCCUGAACCAGCAGCCUGAACCAGACCUAAGCAGCCAGAAACAGAAAGCAGUAGCUAGCAACAGCUUCUCCAGACCUUGAUUCUGUAUUUUUUUUUUAAAGUGUAAUAUUACAAGUUAUUGAAGAAAAUAUAUGUGU